rnacentral:rRNA from 1 species
AACGAACGCUGGCGGCAUGCCUAACACAUGCAAGUAGAACGAGACCUUCGGGUCUAGUGGCGCACGGGUGCGUAACGCGUGGGAACCUGCCCUUAGGUUCGGAAUAACUCCCCGAAAGGGGUGCUAAUACCGGAUAAUGUCUUCGGACCAAAGAUUUAUCGCCUUUGGAUGGGCCCGCGUUGGAUUUGCUAGUUGGUAGGGUAAAAGCCUACCAAGGCGACGAUCCAUAGCUGGUCUGAGAGGAUGAUCAGCCACACUGGGACUGAGACACGGACCAGACUCCUACGGAAGGCAGCAGUGGGGAAUAUUGGACAAUGGGCGAAAGCCGGAUCCAGCAAUGCCGCGUGAGUGAUGAAGGCCUUAGGGUUGUAAAGCUCUUUUACCCGGGAUGAUAAUGACAGUACCGGGAGAAUAAGCUCCGGCUAACUCCGUG